rnacentral:tRNA from 1 species
AGAAUCUUAGGUUAACCAUCAAACCAGAAGCCUUCAAAGCUUUUAAUGGAAAGUUUAUUUUUCAGAUUCUG